UACGUAGGGGGCAAGCGUUGUCCGGAUUUAUUGGGCGUAAAGAGCGUGUAGGCGGCCAGGUAGGUCUGCUGUGAAAACUCGAGGCUUAACCUCGAGAUGUCGGCGGAAACCAUCUGGCUAGAGUCCGGAAGAGGAGAAUGGAAUUCCCGGUGUAGCGGUGAAAUGCGCAGAUAUCGGGAAGAACACCCGUGGCGAAGGCGGUUCUCUGGGACGGUACUGACGCUGAAACGCGAAAGCGUGGGGAGCAAACAGG
rnacentral:rRNA from 1 species